rnacentral:rRNA from 1 species
AGUCAAGUGAAUAAGUGCAUCAGGCGGAUGCCUUGGCGAUGAUAGGCGACGAAGGACGUGUAAGCCUGCGAAAAGCGCGGGGGAGCUGGCAAUAAAGCUAUGAUUCCGCGAUGUCCGAAUGGGGAAACCCACUGCAUUCUGUGCAGUAUCCUAAGUUGAAUACAUAGGCUUAGAGAAGCGAACCCGGAGAACUGAACCAUCUAAGUACCCGGAGGAAAAGAAAUCAACCGAGAUUCCGCAAGUAGUGGCGAGCGAACGCGGAGGAGCCUGUACGUAAUAACUGUCGAGAUAGAAGAACAAGCUGGGAAGCUUGACCAUAGCGGGUGACAGUCCCGUAUUCGAAAUCUCAACAGCGGUACUAAGCGUACGAAAAGUAGGGCGGGACACGUGAAAUCCUGUCUGAAUAUGGGGGGACCAUCCUCCAAGGCUAAAUACUCAUCAUCGACCGAUAGUGAACCAGUACCGUGAGGGAAAGGCGAAAAGAACCCCGGGAGGGGAGUGAAACAGAACCUGAAACCUGAUGCAUACAAACAGUGGGAGCGCCCUAGUGGUGUGACUGCGUACCUUUUGUAUAAUGGGUCAACGACUUACAUUCAGUAGCGAGCUUAACCGGAUAGGGGAGGCGUAGGGAAACCGAGUCUUAAUAGGGCGAUGAGUUGCUGGGUGUAGACCCGAAACCGAGUGAUCUAUCCAUGGCCAGGUUGAAGGUGCCGUAACAGGUACUGGAGGACCGAACCCACGCAUGUUGCAAAAUGCGGGGAUGAGCUGUGGGUAGGGGUGAAAGGCUAAACAAACUCGGAGAUAGCUGGUUCUCCCCGAAAACUAUUUAGGUAGUGCCUCGAGCAAGACACUGAUGGGGGUAAAGCACUGUUAUGGCUAGGGGGUUAUUGCAACUUACCAACCCAUGGCAAACUCAGAAUACCAUCAAGUGGUUCCUCGGGAGACAGACAGCGGGUGCUAACGUCCGUUGUCAAGAGGGAAACAACCCAGACCGCCGGCUAAGGUCCCAAAUGAUAGAUUAAGUGGUAAACGAAGUGGGAAGGCACAGACAGCCAGGAUGUUGGCUUAGAAGCAGCCAUCAUUUAAAGAAAGCGUAAUAGCUCACUGGUCGAGUCGUCCUGCGCGGAAGAUGUAACGGGGCUCAAAUCUAUAACCGAAGCUGCGGAUGCCGGUUUACCGGCAUGGUAGGGGAGCGUUCUGUAGGCUGAUGAAGGUGCAUUGUAAAGUGUGCUGGAGGUAUCAGAAGUGCGAAUGUUGACAUGAGUAGCGAUAAAGCGGGUGAAAAGCCCGCUCGCCGAAAGCCCAAGGUUUCCUACGCAACGUUCAUCGGCGUAGGGUAAGUCGGCCCCUAAGGCGAGGCAGAAAUGCGUAGUCGAUGGGAAACAGGUUAAUAUUCCUGUACUUGAUUCAAAUGCGAUGUGGGGACGGAGAAGGUUAGGUUGGCAAGCUGUUGGAAUAGCUUGUUUAAGCCGGUAGGUGGAAGACUUAGGCAAAUCCGGGUUUUCUUAACACCGAGAAGUGAUGACGAGUGUCUACGGACACGAAGCAACCGAUACCACGCUUCCAGGAAAAGCCACUAAGCUUCAGUUUGAAUCGAACCGUACCGCAAACCGACACAGGUGGGCAGGAUGAGAAUUCUAAGGCGCUUGAGAGAACUCGGGAGAAGGAACUCGGCAAAUUGAUACCGUAACUUCGGGAGAAGGUAUGCCCUCUAAGGUUAAGGACUUGCUCCGUAAGCCCCGGAGGGUCGCAGAGAAUAGGUGGCUGCGACUGUUUAUUAAAAACACAGCACUCUGCCAACACGAAAGUGGACGUAUAGGGUGUGACGCCUGCCCGGUGCCGGAAGGUUAAUUGAAGAUGUGCAAGCAUCGGAUCGAAGCCCCGGUAAACGGCGGCCGUAACUAUAACGGUCCUAAGGUAGCGAAAUUCCUUGUCGGGUAAGUUCCGACCCGCACGAAUGGCGUAACGAUGGCCACACUGUCUCCUCCCGAGACUCAGCGAAGUUGAAGUGGUUGUGAAGAUGCAAUCUACCCGCUGCUAGACGGAAAGACCCCGUGAACCUUUACUGUAGCUUUGCAUUGGACUUUGAAGUCACUUGUGUAGGAUAGGUGGGAGGCUUGGAAGCAGAGACGCCAGUCUCUGUGGAGUCGUCCUUGAAAUACCACCCUGGUGUCUUUGAGGUUCUAACCCAGACCCGUCAUCCGGGUCGGGGACCGUGCAUGGUAGGCAGUUUGACUGGGGCGGUCUCCUCCCAAAGCGUAACGGAGGAGUUCGAAGGUUACCUAGGUCCGGUCGGAAAUCGGACUGAUAGUGCAAUGGCAAAAGGUAGCUUAACUGCGAGACCGACAAGUCGGGCAGGUGCGAAAGCAGGACAUAGUGAUCCGGUGGUUCUGUAUGGAAGGGCCAUCGCUCAACGGAUAAAAGGUACUCCGGGGAUAACAGGCUGAUUCCGCCCAAGAGUUCAUAUCGACGGCGGAGUUUGGCACCUCGAUGUCGGCUCAUCACAUCCUGGGGCUGUAGUCGGUCCCAAGGGUAUGGCUGUUCGCCAUUUAAAGUGGUACGUGAGCUGGGUUUAAAACGUCGUGAGACAGUUUGGUCCCUAUCUGCAGUGGGCGUUGGAAGUUUGACGGGGGCUGCUCCUAGUACGAGAGGACCGGAGUGGACGAACCUCUGGUGUACCGGUUGUAACGCCAGUUGCAUAGCCGGGUAGCUAAGUUCGGAAGAGAUAAGCGCUGAAAGCAUCUAAGCGCGAAACUCGCCUGAAGAUGAGACUUCCCUUGCGGUUUAACCGCACUAAAGGGUCGUUCGAGACCAGGACGUUGAUAGGUGGGGUGUGGAAGCGCGGUAACGCGUGAAGCUAACCCAUACUAAUUGCCCGUGAGGCUUGACUCU